UCAUGUUCUUCUAAUGUAUAACUCAAACUGAUCAAAACAAAACAUUAGGUGAUAAACAACUAUCCUAAAGUGUCACAAAUACAUUUUUUUAACAUGUAUAAACAAAUAGCUUUCAGUUCCUGUUUUUUUUAUUUUUGGAAGCUAACAUUUCUUCUGUAGUAGAGCAAUGUAUGCCUUUCUUUCCUCCAAUUCUAAUUGAAGCUUUGCAUGUCUUUCCUCGGCUUCGGCGAUAUAUUUUUCUUUCUCAAA